GACGAACGCUGGCGGCGUGCUUAACACAUGCAAGUAGAACGGAAAGGCGCUGCUUUUGUGGUUUGCUCGAGUGGCGCACGCGUGUGUAUCACGUGAGUAUCCUCCCCUUGACUUUGGGAUAACUUUAGGAGACUGGGGAGCUUACCGCAUAUGAGCUUCUUCUUCAUGUUGUGGUUUGGAAAAUUUCGGCGCUUCGGGAUGGACUCGCGGCUUAUCAGCUUGUUGGUGGGGUAGUGGCUUACCAAGGCUUUGACGGGUAGCCGGACUGAGAGGGUGACCGGCCACAGUGGGACUGAGAAGGGGGCAAGAGUCAUACGGGGGGAAGGAGGGGGGAAUUGUGCGAAAUGGGCGGAAGGCGGAUGGAGCAAUGCCGGGUGGGGGAUGACGGCCUUCGGGGUGGAACGGGUGUGAGAGUGUGAAGAAGAGUGAGUGACGGUAAUGGGUAAAGAAGCAACGGCUAACUACGUG
rnacentral:rRNA from 1 species